rnacentral:rRNA from 1 species
GACGAACGCUGGCGGCGUGCUUAACACAUGCAAGUGGAGCGACGAACCAGGGCUUGCCCUGGGGCAGAGCCGCGAACGGGUGAGUAACACGUGGGUAACGUGCCCCGAUGACUGGGACAACCCGGGGAAACCCGGGCUAAUCCCGGAUGUGCCCCCUCACAUCAGUGAGGUGUGUAAAGGAAGCUUCGGCCUCCGCCUCGGGAUCGGCCCGCGGCCCAUUAGCUUGUUGGUGAGGUAACGGCUCACCAAGGCUGCGAUGGGUAGCUGGUCUGAGAGGACGAUCAGCCACACUGGGACUGAGACACGGCCCAGACUCCUACGGGAGGCAGCAGUGGGGAAUCUUGCGCAAUGCGCGAAAGCGUGACGCAGCAACGCCGCGUGGGGGAAGACGGCCUUCGGGUUGUAAACCCCUUUCAGUUGGGACGAAGGUCGGGCGGUUAACAGCCGUUCCGGCUGACGGUACCUGCACAAGAAGCCCCGGCUAACUACGUG